rnacentral:rRNA from 1 species
UGGGGAAUUUUGCACAAUGGGGGAAACCCUGAUGCAGCGACGCCGCGUGAUUUAGAAGGCCUUCGGGUUGUAAAAAUCUUUUCUAUGGGAAGAAAAUGACAGUACCAUAGGAAUAAGGACCGGCUAAUUACGUGCCAGCAGCCGCGGUAAUACGUAAGGUCCGAGCGUUGUCCGGAAUCAUUGGGCGUAAAGGGUACGUAGGCGGGUAAGCAAGUUAGAAGUGAAAUCCUAUAGCUCAACUAUAGGAAGCUUUUAAUACUACUCCUCUUGAGGUAUGGAAGGGAAAGUGGAAUUCCUUUUGUUGCGGUGAAAUGCGCAGAUAUUAGGAUGAAUACAGGUGGCGUAGGCGACUUUCUGGCCAUAACCUGACGCUGAGGUACGAAAGCGUGGGUAGCAAACAGG